AGCAAUCUUGGCCUGGCGCAGAGGCUUCCAUUUUCGAGGGACAGGUUGAUGGAGAACUAUUUCUGGACGGUUGGCUGGGCUUUUGAGCCACAGUUUGCAAGAUGCAGGGAGGCGCAGACAAAGGCAAACUGCCUGAUAACAACAGUUGAUGAUGUGUAUGAUGUUUACGGCACCAUGGAUGAGCUCGAGCUUUUCACGGAUGCCGUCGAUAGGUGAUGAAGAACUCCACCUCAUGAAUGCAAUAGAUGCAAUUUCAACGAUCGUUGAUUCCUGAUAACAUCUACUCUGAUGGAUGUUGCAGAUGGGACGUUAAUGCAACGGGCAAACUUCCAGAGUACAUGAAGAUGUGUUUUCUAGCCCUCUUCAACACUACAAUGACACCGCAUAUAAUGUUAUGAAAGAGAAGGGUCUGGACAUAAUUCCACACCUAAAAAAAGCAUGGGCAGAUGUAUGCAAGGCACACAUGGUGGAAGCAAGGUAGUACCACCAGGGCUACACACCCAAUCUUGAAGAGUACUUGGAGAACGCACUUGAAGGGCUACACACCCACUCUUGCUUAUUGCACCAGUGAGAUGUAAGUCAAGAGACCUUGGAAGACUUCCACAGCUGUCUUAAGAUUGCAAGAUGGUCAUCCAUGAUCCUUCGACUUUGUGAUGAUUUGGGACGAGCUUGAAAGAGGCGAUGUGUCCAAAUCUAUCCAGUUUUACAUCAAUGAGAGUGGUUUAUCGGAGUACGUGGCUCAUGACCAUAUCAAGCGAUUGAUUAGGGGGAAUUGGAGAGCAAUAAACGGAGAUCGAAGUUUCACUUCUCGUUUUGAGGAAAACAUAAAAAUGAUGAUCAUUAAUUUUCCUCGAAUGGCCCAAUGAGAUGGACAUGGAAAACCUGAUCAAGUGACUGAGGAUCACAUCAGGUCUUUGAUAAUUGAACCUAUAUACUUUUGUGACAAUUGAAUUAAGGAUGAUAUCAUGAAGUUAUAAGUCUCCUCGUCAUUCAUCCAAGCCUUUGAUUAAGAUUCUUUGGGUGUGAUCACUCUUUUGAUGGUGUAGUUCUAGGUUAUUGGUUGUGAUAAUUGAUUUGUAUCAGCGCUUUCGAACUAGAAAACUUUCUUCAUGAAAUA